UCCUGGUUUCCCAGGCAGUCCCACCAGAGUGCCUUCUAAAAGAAGUUGCAACUGGCAGCAAGGGUUGCGCUCGUUAGAGGACUUAACCCAACACCUCACGGCACGAGCUGACGACAGCCAUGCAGCACCUGUGCAAUUGUCCAGAUUAAAAACCUGGAAAAUCGUAUUUCUACGACGGUCAAAGGCAUGUCAAACCUAGGUAAGGUUCCUCGCGUAGUGUCGAAUUAAACCACAUGUUCCACCGCUUGUGCGGACCCCCGUCAAUUUCUUUGAGUUUUAGUCUUGCGACCGUAGUCCCCAGGCGGAUCACUUAACGCGUUAGCUGCGACACUGAUUCUGCUAAGCAAAACCAACGUCUAGUGAUCAUCGUUUACAGCGUGGACUAC
rnacentral:misc_RNA from 1 species